GGACCUGUAGGAGGAUAGAAGAAGAAAUUGAAUCCCAUCAGAAAAAAUCGAAUCCCAUCAGAAACGCGCUACCAACAGCGCGGAGGAAAACGGCGCUUUGCAGCGACAUCGGCUGGCCAGUCUGUUAAUGAGGGACCAAGUCGCCGGUGCAGCAGUCUCGGCGGAGACGCCCAGACUUCCAGCUCCUCAGACUCCUCUUCCAGCUCCUCUGGGGGAAGCCCAAGGCACUCCAGGCCAUAGUCCCCCCAGCAUGUCCUGGGCCCAAGCCACAGAGGAAAAGUUUACAUGUUUUCUAAUUUUAAAAAAUAAGCGUGCCGAUGCCGAGGAAGCGCCACCACGCAGCCACGCCUAGGCUUGGUGGCUGAAAGCCCCGAUGUGUAAAUUCACAUCAGGCCGGUGGAGUUAUUGCUUCGCUCGACGCCAGGUGACUCUUGGGAUCCGGAGAGUCACCUAGAAGUCAGCUCAGAGAACAACCUGAGGCCUGGAGACCUGGUCCUGAUUAAGACACUCCACAGAAAGGACUGGAGCACCCCUCACUGGGAAGGGCCAUACCGAGUUCUCCUGACCACACCGACAGCUCUAAAAAUCGCAGAGAGACCAUCCUGGAUCCACAAGAGCCACUGUAAGCCAAUAUUACCGUUACAGGAGCCAAACCAACCGACGGGGUAACAGGGGAAGACAGCUACAAAGGGGCUGGUAACCCAUAGGGCUCAGCAUCUCAAACCGGUGAUGAAAACAACUGAUCUGUGCCCAACUUAGCAUGGCUUUUUGUAACAUGUGACAGGACUGAUAAGCCUGAGCCUAACUCUGGUAGCAGGACUCUUUCUCUGUUUAAGGCAGGAUCCACAGGAUGCAACAUCACACGAGAAGAGAUGGACACUGGACGGCUCUCAUCUUAGACCUCUAAAGAGAGGAGGAGGACAUCUGUUUCUGCAGAACUAUUGGUAUCGUUAUGUGUACGAAACAGCUAAAGCACAAAAUAAAACAGACUGUUAUGUAUGUUCUAUCAUGCCAGUUCAUUCCCAAGGCCCUACAGUAUAUGUGAGAAAAAUUUAUUUCACAGAAGCCUUCUCAAUAGGACUCUGGGGGUAUGCGAAACGUAUACAUUUUACUGUUCCCGGUCAAAACCUGAUGGAAGGAGAAGGCAUCCAAGUGGUUGGUAAGGACAACAAAACGUACACAUAUUACAACAAUUCUCUUGCAUAUGCAGCAUUGAUCCAAGUCGACACCACACUGGACCCAAAAAACAGAUGAGACAGAAAAGGAUUAUUUUACCGAGCUACAAAAUAAAGACCAUUACUCCUAUGAUGACAUGUUGUAAAUGAAAAUAUCUUUGACGCCUGAGUGUAUUCAUGAUUGUACUUCAUAAAAUGACCUUAUAGCAGACAAUCGAAAGAAGUUGCUGUUUAAGUGACAUGAGAAAAAGUAUAAUGAUGACAUGAACAAGGCUUGUUUUAAUUCCUUUACUUUUAUUGCAUUUUAUUUUCUUUGAUUUAUUACAUUGUUUUAUUAUUGUUGUACUCUACCAUGGUUGGUGGUCACCUUGGACGGAGGGGCCGUGUGAGUAUUUUCCCACAAUAUAAUUUGCUUUCCCGUCCGUGGGUUUUUCGCUCACACAGAGUGUUUUCUUUUUGCUUGUAUCUAAUCAUGACUUUAUUCAUGAUAAAAAAGGAGGGACUGUUGGGUGUGAAAACUUGUAUCUUGUGUUUAUCACUCAUGAGACUUGUACAUUCCGUACUGAACUCAGCAUGUGAGCCUGAAGGCCACGCUGAACGCUGAAUCGCACCCGUUUCUUGUUUCUACUCCCACUUUGAAAACACACACACAGACCCGAACUGUCAGCAUAUAAAUAAAGAAGGAGGGCGUCAACACUUUGUAUUUGCACUCCAGAGUGUUGCUACCUCUUGCUGCAGAAAGAUAACAGAGACUGUGUCGUUCCUCUGAGUUGACUAAUUAAUACCUAACAGUGUUGGUUAAUUGCAAUUACUGUUGCCCAUCCAUUCAUCCAUUUAUGUAAAAACGAAUUGGUAUAUCAGUUACUCAACUAACAAAAAAAACAUCCUUUUUGACUUUUUCCCAAUUUCACUUCCUCAAUUAUCUGUUAUUGACGAAAAUGUGGAACAAACCAGGUGACAACAGUGUGUUCUUAGAGCUCUUUUCCCCUGACUGCUGGACAUGGUGGAGGGAUUGCCGCUGUCUACAGUGACAAUUUUAUAUGCAGACUUUUGCCUUCAUUGACUUAUUCUUCUUUUGAACAACAGAAGAUGUUUGUGACUGAGCUCACACAUACUCUUUUAUGUGCAGUUGUUUACUGCCCACCUAGGUACAAAAUGGUUUUUAUUCAAGAAUUUUCUAGCAGAUUCAAUUCCUAAAUAUGAUCAUCUUUUAAUUUUGAGCAUUUUAGCAUUCAUAUUUGUUGGCCUACUGUAGUACCAGAGAUUUGUUAAAGAAGCAAAAACCUGUAUUUUUUCCUUCAUCUGCUGUUUGUCCUGGUGCUGCUGGACCUCAACGCUAGUCUUUGAUACUGUUGAUCAUACUGUGCUUCUGUCUCAAUAAAGUUGCUAUGUUGGUA